AGUUGGUGAGGGACAGGGAGGCCUGGCAUGCUGCGAUUCAUGGGGUCACAGAGUCAAAUACGACUGAGUGACUGAACCGAACUGAACUGAACCGAAGGAUUAGAUGGUAAUAAUGUGUCAGUGCUAGUUUCCUCAUCUUGAUUGGUUGUAUUAUGGUGAGAUAAGAGAAUGUCCUUGUACAUAGGAAAUACACACAAUAGUAUUGAAGGGUAAUGGGGCAGUAGGUUGGGAACUUACUCCCAAAUUAUUCAAAUAGCAAAAAUUCUUAGUACUGUUUUUUCAAGCAUCCUGUAUGAUUGACAUUGAUUCAAAAUGAAAGGAUUUUUUAUGAAAAUACAAAGUUAAAUGUGCACUAAGUUACAGCAAAUUCUCACAGAUCGAUCUCUCUUUUUUUUUUGGCCAUGCAGCAUGCUGGAUAUUAGUUCUCUGACCAGAGACGAUUGA
rnacentral:lncRNA from 1 species